AUUGAACGCUGGCGGCAGGCCUAACACAUGCAAGUCGAGCGGAUGAAGGGAGCUUGCUCCUGGAUUCAGCGGCGGACGGGUGAGUAAUGCCUAGGAAUCUGCCUGGUAGUGGGGGAUAACGUCCGGAAACGGGCGCUAAUACCGCAUACGUCCUGAGGGAGGAAGUGGGGGAUCUUCGGACCUCACGCUAUCAGAUGAGCCUAGGUCGGAUUAGCUAGUUGGUGGGGUAAAGGCCUACCAAGGCGACGAUCCGUAACUGGUCUGAGAGGAUGAUCAGUCACACUGGAACUGAGACACGGUCCAGACUCCUACGGGAGGCAGCAGUGGGGAAUAUUGGACAAUGGGCGAAAGCCUGAUCCAGCCAUGCCGCGUGUGUGAAGAAGGUCUUCGGAUUGUAAAGCACUUUAAGUUGGGAGGAAGGGCAGUAAGUUAAUACCUUGCUGUUUUGACGUUACCAAAAGAAUAAGCACCGGCUAACUUCGUG
rnacentral:rRNA from 1 species